UGAGAGGGUGACCGGCCACACUGGGACUGAGACACGGCCCAGACUCCUACGGGAGGCAGCAGUGGGUAUUUUUCGGCAAGGGGGGAAACCCUGACCGAGCACCGCCGCGUGAAGGAAGAAGUCAUUCGUUAUGUAAACUUCUGUCAUAGUGGAAGAACGGUGGAUAUAGGGAAUGAUAUCCAAGUGACGGUACUCUAUAAGA
rnacentral:rRNA from 1 species